rnacentral:rRNA from 1 species
AUGGGUGUUGGCUCCAACAAUUCUCAUUGGUCUCAAACCAAUGACAUGCAUUUCGAUGACCAUGAGUUCGAGAUGGACGAGGAUGGUGAGGGCAUCGUCGACGCACCGAAAGGAAGAGGAGGCAACUACACCAAUGAUGAAGACAUCUUGCUAUGUAAUACUUCGUUGCAAGUGUCGAGGGAUCCCUCCGUUGGAGCUGAUCAAAGUAGAGAUGCAUAUACUGGAACCGGAUGA